GAUGAACGCUGGCGGCGUGCUUAACACAUGCAAGUCGAACGAUGAAGCCCAGCUUGCUGGGUGGAUUAGUGGCGAACGGGUGAGUAACACGUGAGUAACCUGCCCUUGACUCUGGGAUAAGCCUGGGAAACUGGGUCUAAUACUGGAUAUGACUUCUCAUCGCAUGGUGGGGGGUGGAAAGAUUUAUUGGUCUUGGAUGGACUCGCGGCCUAUCAGCUUGUUGGUGAGGUAAUGGCUCACCAAGGCGACGACGGGUAGCCGGCCUGCGAGGGUGACCGGCCACACUGGGACUAAGACACGGCCCAGACUCCUACGGGAGGCAGCAGUGGGGAAUAUUGCACAAUGGGCGCAAGCCUGAUGCAGCGACGCCGCGUGAGGGAUGACGGCCUUCGGGUUGUAAACCUCUUUCAGAAGGAAAGAAGCGAGAGUGACGGUACCUGCAGAAGAAGCGCCGGCUAACUACGUG
rnacentral:rRNA from 1 species